rnacentral:rRNA from 1 species
UACGGAGGGUGCAAGCGUUGCUCGGAAUUACUGGGCGUAAAGCGAACGCAGGCGGUUCACUAAGUCGGGCGUGAAAGCCCCGGGCUCAACCUGGGAAUUGCACUCGAUACUGGUAGACUUGAGUCUGAGAGAGGGAAGCGGAAUUCCUGGUGUAGAGGUGAAAUUCGUUGAUAUCAGGAGGAACACCGGCGGCGAAGGCGGCCUUCUGGACGAUGACUGACGCUGAGACGCGAAAGCGUGGGGAGCAAACAGG